UACGUAGGGUGCAAGCGUUAAUCGGAAUUACUGGGCGUAAAGCGUGCGCAGGCGGUUUUGUAAGUCUGUCGUGAAAUCCCCGGGCUCAACCUGGGAAUUGCGAUGGAGACUGCAAGGCUAGAAUCUGGCAGAGGGGGGUAGAAUUCCGACGUGUAGCAGUGAAAUGCGUAGAGAUGUGGAGGAACACCGAUGGCGAAGGCAAUCCCCUGGGCCUGCACUGACGCUCGAUGCACGAAAGGCGUGGGGAGAAACAGG
rnacentral:rRNA from 1 species